rnacentral:rRNA from 1 species
AUUGAACGCUGGCGGAAUGCUUUACACAUGCAAGUCGAGCGGCAGCGCGGGGCAACCUGGCGGCGAGCGGCGAACGGGUGAGUAAUACAUCGGAACGUGCCCAGACGUGGGGGAUAACUACUCGAAAGAGUGGCUAAUACCGCAUACGAUCUAAGGAUGAAAGCGGGGGAUCGCAAGACCUCGCGCGUUUGGAGCGGCCGAUGGCAGAUUAGGUAGUUGGUGGGGUAAAGGCUUACCAAGCCCGCGAUCUGUAGCUGGUCUGAGAGGAUGAUCAGCCACACUGGGACUGAGACACGGCCCAGACUCCUACGGGAGGCAGCAGUGGGGAAUUUUGGACAAUGGGCGAAAGCCUGAUCCAGCCAUUCCGCGUGCAGGAUGAAGGCCCUCGGGUUGUAAACUGCUUUGUACAGAACGAAAAAGACUCUUUCUAAUACAGAGAGUCCAUGACGGUACUGUAAGAAUAAGACACCGGCUAACUACGUGCCAGCAGCCGCGGUAAU